GGGUGGGAGGCGGCGUGUGUCGCCCCUUCCCCUCCGCCUGCCGGACCUCGGCCCCGUCCCACGCGCGGUUGUGUCAGCGGUGUUGGAGAAGGCGCUUUCCUCUCCCCGCUUCAGUCAGCUGAGGGUGCCCGCCCUGCCCGGGGAAGGAGGGGGGGUGGGGUGGCGGGACUGCGCUUUCCCGGGAGCGAGCUGGCAGGGUUGUAGCCAUGCUGGGAUGCUGUAUGAAUGAACCUGAGGAGUAUGUGGUUAGAUACUCUGGUAGCUGAAGAUCUUAAUGUAACUGGCUGAAAAAUGGUUCCUCAAGAUGAC
rnacentral:lncRNA from 1 species